rnacentral:pre_miRNA from 1 species
UUUGUUUAGACUUUCGCCAAAACUCUGCGAGCGUCAACCCAUUUAUCCGUGCUUCCUUGUUUGGUUUUGUUAGACGCUGAAUGCGGUGGUAUUGUAUACAAGGGUAGAUGUUCGCUGGGUUUUUGACGAAAUACCUAUAACAAA